rnacentral:misc_RNA from 1 species
GAAAUGCGAUAAGUAGUGUGAAUUGCAGAAUUCAGUGAAUCAUCGAAUCUUUGAACGCACAUUGCGCCCCUCGGUAUUCCGUGGGGCAUGCCUGUUCGAGCGUCAUUUCAACCAUCAAGCCCCGGGCUUGUGUUGGGGACCUGCGGCUGCCGCAGGCCCUGAAAAGCAGUGGCGGGCUCGCUGUCACACCGAGCGUAGUAGCAUACAUCUCGCUCUGGGCGUGCUGCGGGUUCCGGCCGUUAAACCACCUUCGUAACCCAAGGUUGACCUCGGAUCAGGUAGGAAGACCCGCUGAACUUAAGC